rnacentral:misc_RNA from 1 species
UUUGGAAAUGCGGUGGUAAUGG